UACAGAGACUGCAAGCGUUAUUCGGAUUCACUGGGCGUAAAGGGUGCGUAGGUGGUCAGGUAAGUCGGAUGUGAAAUCUCCGAGCUCAACUCGGAAACUGCAUUGGAAACUACCUGGCUCGAGGGUUGGAGGGGGGACUGGAAUGCUUGGUGUAGCAGUGAAAUGCGUAGAUAUCAAGCGGAACACCAGUGGCGAAGGCGAGUCCCUGGACAACUCCUGACACUGAUGCACGAAAGCUAGGGGAGCAAACAGG
rnacentral:rRNA from 1 species